AUUGAACGCUGGCGGCAGGCCUAACACAUGCAAGUCGAACGGUAACAGGAAACAGCUUGCUGUUUCGCUGACGAGUGGCGGACGGGUGAGUAAUGUCUGGGAAACUGCCUGAUGGAGGGGGAUAACUACUGGAAACGGUAGCUAAUACCGCAUAACGUCGCAAGACCAAAGAGGGGGACCUUCGGGCCUCUUGCCAUCGGAUGUGCUCAGAUGGGAUUCGCUUGUUGGUGGGGUAACGGCUCACCAAGGCGACGAUCCCUAGCUGGUCUGAGAGGAUGACCAGCCACACUGGAACUGAGACACGGUCCAGACUCCUACGGGAGGCAGCAGUGGGGAAUAUUGCACAAUGGGCGCAAGCCUGAUGCAGCCAUGCCGCGUGUAUGAAGAAGGCCUUCGGGUUGUAAAGUACUUUCAGCGGGGAGGAAGGGAGUAAAGUUAAUACCUUUACUCAUUGACGUUACCCGCAGAAGAAGCACCGGCUAACUCCGUGCCAGCCGCCGCUGUAA
rnacentral:rRNA from 1 species